UACGUAGGGUGCGAGCGUUAAUCGGAAUUACUGGGCGUAAAGCGUGCGCAGGCGGUUAUUUAAGUCAGGUGUGAAAGCCCUGGCUUAACCUAGGAAUUGCGCUUGAGACUGGAUAGCUUGGAGUGCGGCAGAGGGAGGUGGAAUUCCACGUGUAGCAGUGAAAUGCGUAGAGAUGUGGAGGAACACCGAUGGCGAAGGCAGCCUCCUGGGCCAGCACUGACGCUCAUGCACGAAAGCGUGGGGAGCAAACAGG
rnacentral:rRNA from 1 species